CUGGCGGCAGGCUUAACACAUGCAAGUCGAACGGUAGCAGGAAGAAAGCUUGCUUUCUUUGCUGACGAGUGGCGGACGGGUGAGUAAUGCUUGGGAAUCUGGCUUAUGGAGGGGGAUAACUGUGGGAAACUGCAGCUAAUACCGCGUAUUCUCUGAGGAGGAAAGGGUGGGACCUUAGGGCCACCUGCCAUAAGAUGAGCCCAAGUGGGAUUAGGUAGUUGGUGGGGUAAAGGCCUACCAAGCCUGCGAUCUCUAGCUGGUCUGAGAGGAUGACCAGCCACACUGGAACUGAGACACGGUCCAGACUCCUACGGGAGGCAGCAGUGGGGAAUAUUGCGCAAUGGGGGGAACCCUGACGCAGCCAUGCCGCGUGAAUGAAGAAGGCCUUCGGGUUGUAAAGUUCUUUCGGUAAUGAGGAAGGGAUGUUGUUAAAUAGAUAGCAUCAUUGACGUUAAUUACAGAAGAAGCACCGGCUAACUCCGUGCCAGCAGCCGCGGUAAU
rnacentral:rRNA from 1 species